UAAGUCAGAAGAGGAGCAGAGCAGCAGCUCCGUGAAGAAAGAUGAGACUAAUGUGAAGAUGGAGUCUGAGGGGGGUGCAGAUGACUCUGCUGAGGAGGGGGACCUACUGGAUGACCAGCUGGAGUUGAUCAAGGAUGAUGAAAAAGAGGCUGAGGAAGGAGAGGAUGACAGAGACAGCGCCAAUGGCGAGGAUGACUCUUAAGCACAUAGUGGGGUUUAGAAAUCUUAUCCCAUUAUUUCUUUACCUAGGCGCUUGUCUAAGAUCAAAUUUUUCACCAGAUCCUCUCCCCUAGUAUCUUCAGCACAUGCUCACUGUUUUCCCCAUCCUUGUCCUUCCCAUGUUCAUUAAUUAAUUCAUAUUGCCCCGCGCCUAGUCCCAUUUUCACUUCCUUUGACGCUCCUAGUAGUUUUGUUAAGUCUUACCCUGUAAUUUUUGCUUUUAAUUUUGAUACCUCUUUAUGACUUAACAAUAAAAAUGAUGUAUGGUUUUUAUCAACUGUCUCCAAAAUAAUCUCUUGUUAUGCAGGGAGUACAGUUCUUUUCAUUCAUACAUAAGUUCAGUAGUUGCUUCCCUAACUGCAAAGGCAAUCUCAUUUAGUUGAGUAGCUCUUGAAAGCAGCUUUGAGUUAGAAGUAUGUGUGUUACACCCCCACAUUAGUGUGCUGUGUGGGGCAGUUCAACACAAAUGUAACAAUGUAUUUUUGUGAAUGAGAGUUGGCAUGUCAAAUGCAUCCUCUAGAAAAAUAAUUAGUGUUAUAGUCUUAAGAUUUGUUUUCUAAAGUUGAUACUGUGGGUUAUUUUUGUGAACAGCCUGAUGUUUGGGACCUUUUUUCCUCAAAAUAAACAAGUCCUUAUUAAACCAGGG
rnacentral:lncRNA from 1 species